rnacentral:pre_miRNA from 1 species
GAUUUCAUCUGAAAAAGUCAUCAAUAAUAAAGUUGUAUUACUCAUCAAGAUCUAUAGCUUCUAUUUUGGUCAUUUCUUCAUCCGACAAAGUGAAUUGUAGAAUGGUUCACAAAAUGUACAUCUCUUAUAUAGUUUAAUUAUAUAGUCAAUCCUACAAUUCACUUUGUCGGAUGAAGAAAUGACCAAAAUAGAAGUUAUAGAUCUUGAUGAGUUAUACAACUUUGUUAUUGAUGAUUUUUUCAGAUGAAAUC